UACGGAGGGGGCAAGCGUUGUUCGGAAUUAUUGGGCGUAAAGGGCGCGUAGGCGGCCGGCCAAGUCGGGUGUGAAAUCCCUCGGCUCAACCGAGGAACUGCACUCGAUACUGGCUGGCUCGAGUCCGGGAGGGGAUGGUGGAAUUCCCAGUGUAGCGGUGAAAUGCGUAGAUAUUGGGAAGAACACCAGUGGCGAAGGCGGCUACCUGGACCGGUUCUGACGCUGAGGCGCGAAAGCGUGGGUAGCAAACAGG
rnacentral:rRNA from 1 species